GAUGAAGAACGCAGCGAAAUGCGAUAAGUAGUGUGAAUUGCAGAAUUCAGUGAAUCAUCGAAUCUUUGAACGCACAUUGCGCCCUUUGGUAUUCCAAAGGGCAUGCCUGUUCGAGCGUCAUUUGUACCCUCAAGCUUUGCUUGGUGUUGGGCGUCUUGUCUCUAGCUUUGCUGGAGACUCGCCUUAAAGUAAUUGGCAGCCGGCCUACUGGUUUCGGAGCGCAGCACAAGUCGCACUCUCUAUCAGCAAAGGUCUAGCAUCCAUUAAGCCUUUUUUUCAACUUUUGACCUCGGAUCAGGUAGGGAUACCCGCUGAACUUAAGCAUAUCAAGCGGAGGA
rnacentral:misc_RNA from 1 species